GGCGGCGUGCCUAACACAUGCAAGUCGUACGAGAAAGUUGGCUUCGGCCGAUGAGUAAAGUGGCGCACGGGUGAGUAAUGCGUGGAUAAUCUGCCCUUUAGUUGGGAAUAACGUACCGAAAGGUGCGCUAAUACCUGAUAAUACUGCAUAACUACUGUUGUGUAGUCAAAGAAGGCCUCUGUUUACAAGCUUUUGCUGAAGGAUGAGUCCGCGUACCAUUAGCUGGUUGGUGGGGUAAUGGCCUACCAAGGCUACGAUGGUUAGCUGGUCUGAGAGGAUGAUCAGCCACACUGGAACUGAGACACGGUCCAGACUCCUACGGGAGGCAGCAGUGAGGAAUAUUGCGCAAUGGGGGCAACCCUGACGCAGCAACGCCGCGUGAGUGAGGAAGGUUUUCGGACCGUAAAGCUCUGUCGAGCGGGAAGAAAUGUAUCAUGGCUAAUACCCAUGAUACUUGACGGUACCGCUAAAGGAAGCACCGGCUAACUCCGUG
rnacentral:rRNA from 1 species